rfam:Erinaceus europaeus unplaced genomic scaffold scaffold00229, whole genome shotgun sequence
AAACCCGCACGUUUAUUUUCUCUAGCUAAUGGGCCGCCCAGCCCUGUUGUUUCUUUCUUUGCCCACUUUCAUCUUAUGAACCUUUUUUCCCCCCCAGCCAAACACUUUUACACCCCUGAAUGAGCCUGCCCGGGAAGAAAGACACCAAUCACCUU